rnacentral:lncRNA from 1 species
CAAAUAAUGAAAAUCCACCAAAUAUUUUCUCAUCAGGUCUGGCUGGGUAACUGAAGUACACAUCAUUCAAUUCAAUAUUGCCACGAAUGUCAUUCAAUAUUUUUCCAUUGGUAUCAUAAGCAUCUAUCUCCGGCUUUCUCUCAAUGGUUUCGAACAUCUUGAAAGCUGCUGCUUGACCUGCAGCGAAUGCAGACAUACACGGAGAUGCCUGUCCUAGGGACCUGACAUAGGAAUGUUUAAUCAUAACGCAUGAAUUAAAGCUUAGAAAACCCCCCAUCUUCAAUUUACUAUUGAUGUAUUGUUAUAUGUAGCUUUUAAGAAAGAAAAAGAACUUACAUGGAAGCAGUUAACACAGCAACAAUUAUAUUGAUAACCUGACCACCUGUAUAUCCUUUUUCCAAGAUGAGCCUUGCACCAUACCAAAUAGCCAAAGCAUAGCUACAGUACAUAAGAGCAAAAAGUGAGCCAAGACCUAAUCCACUUGCCAGCCCUUCUUUUGCACCUGAAUGAUAAGCUUUGAUUAAAGACUCGUUGUAGUCGGCUAUAGCCUUCUUCUCCCCUGUAAAUGAUGCAACCUGAGGAGGAAACAAGAUACAUAUCAUACUUGUACUGAUAAAGAAGAAGGUAAAACAAAGAUAAUUGCUUUACUUAUGACAUACUAUUCUAAUGGAUCCAAUUGUCUGUUCAACCACCCCUGCAGCCUUGGCAUAAGCUUCUUGUCCACUCGACGCCAUCCUUGAUAAGAUGAGGGACAUCACACCACCAGAUAUUAUAAGUAGAGGAAUGAUCGAUAACAUAACAAACGUGAGAAGCCAUCCUUGGGUAAAUGCAAUGGCAAACCCCCCGAUGAAUGUUGAUAUCAGCUGUACACAUUUCCCUACCUACCACAGUUAAGGAAAUAACAUCAAGUAAUAGAAAAAGCAAUUUAAGGCAAACAGUACAUUGCUUUUCAGCAUAGAUACCUUUUCACCCAUCGCGUCUUGUAUAAGUACAGUGUCACCAGACAUCCUCCCAACCACCUCUCCUGUAUUUGUUUCGUUAUCAUAGAAAGCAAUAUCUUGUUGUAAAAUAGUUUUCAGAUACAAACUCCUUAUUCGAGAAGCUUGUCUUUCACCGGAUAUCAUCCAACAAGCAACCUCUGUACAACAUAUUCAUAUUCAUUUAAACAUCAAUCAUGACUACCUAUACUUAAUAAAGACAGAUUAAUGCUCAAACUUACGAAGAAACGCAGCUACCCCACAUGCCACAGCUAAGUAAACCAUUUUCAAGGAGAUCUACGUAGAAAUUAGAGAGAUUAUGAUGAUUUUCAGUAUUAUCAAAAACGAAACAAGAAGCUUGAAAAUGUUAAUUACCUUAGAGACCAGUCGAAGCACAUCUUUGUUAUUUUGGUUUUGUCCAAAAGAAUCAGUCAAUUCUCCGAAAAGAACAGUCAUGAAGGGGAUUGACAAUCCAUUUCCAAUAGCUCCAAUAGUUCCAAUGAUCAUCAAAACUAUAUCCGUUGAAUCCGCAAAGGAAAAGAGCUUGUAAAAAGGAACUGUUUGUAUUUGUUUGAUCAUGUUUGAAUCCUGUUUGCCUCCUGCAUUAUCUUGUUCUUCUGAUGAGGCUUCAUUCAGCUUGUAAAAAGGAACUGUAUUAUUUUCAUUCAAAUCAUUCCCUUCACCCAUAGUUUUGUUUGUCACAAACACUAAUUUAGACUAAGUUAGACAUGAAAAAAGAAUGAAAUUUUAGUAAUAACAUUAUAUGUAUUGAGCCUUGAGUAGAAAAAUUAUGAACAAACUAUGUAUGAUAGUUGUGUUAUUCAAGAAAAAUAAUAGAUCAAACACAGAACGUGGGGGUGGGAGAAUUUAUUUUAUUUUUUUUAAUAAAAAAAACUAUAUACUAAGAAGGAAUAAUAAGAGUUAUUGAUGAUAUGUACGCACGUAUAGUAGUACAAUAGAUUUGAAGAUUUUAGACAACGUGGUGGGCAGAGAGAGCUAGAAAGAAAUUCUCCAUUACUUUGACCAAAUUGCCCUUCAAAAUAAAUACUAUAGAAAAAAAAAACGGAAACUUAGAUAAAUCUCACUAGUUUAAGAGUUAGUUACUUAGAUAUAGUCUAAUUUGCAAUAUUUUACGUAUCUUAUCAGACUUUGAUGUGUUCAGAUACGUCGAAAUUGAAGUCAAAAUUAGGUGUAAUUAUAUUUGUUGUAGUACAUUGUAUUCAAGUGUCCGCAUGUAUUUGAGGUACAUAACAAAUCUUGUUCGUCAGUCUCCUGUAUCUCUAGUAUCUCAGGUACAUUCAAGUACGGUAUCUAGUGUCGUUCGCAAUGUAUCAGGAAUACAUAACAGAUCGAUCUCACUCUCCUAGUGUGAUUAGCAAUGUAUCAGGAAUACAUAACAAAUCUUACUCACCUCAAGACCAUCUCAGUCCCUACCCUUCCUAUUUUAGUCAGUUUGGUAACAAAAAUACAUAUAUCUAAGUGUAUCAUCCUUACUAUAUGAUGAAAAAUUCUUAAUUAGUGAUAAAAUACGUAAUAUUUUUAAAAUAUAGAUAAUAGUAGGUGCUUGUGAUGAUAAUGUAGUUUCUCCUAAAAGUAAUAUAUAUAUAUAUAUAUAUAUUUUUUAUUUCUUUAUUUUUUUUUAAUUUUUUUUUUAUAGAAAAUCAAACUAACUCAAUUUGAUUAAGGCCAUCAUUCAUGCCCAACCCAGUUGACCUCGGACUGAUCGAGUUCAAUCUUUUAUGAACCAGAUCGGUCCGAUUUAAAUUUAACUAAUUAAAUAUUUUUAUUUUUAAUGAUAUUUUUUUUACGAGGUACCUAUUAAAGUCUGAUUCAAAGAUAUUGUUGCUUGAUAAUUCCUAAUAUUAGUCAGAUUGUUAUCUGUUAGAAAAUUAGCAUUUAUUAUAAAAUAUUUAAAGUUGAUGAUGGUUAAUAUUAAUCAGAUAGGAAAUUAGCACUUGCGAUAAAAUAUUUAAAGUUGACCACGCAAAACAAUAAAAUAUAAUUAUAUAAAGUUAGUUGUAUGCAAAUAUGAACUUCACAUGGCCCAACCAACUUUUUGAAUUUUGAAGAUUUGUCCUUUGAAUAUUACAAAAUAAUAAGCUAAAUAUGGUAUUUGUUUUCUUUUUUAGUUUCUUAAUUUUUCAUUACAUGUUUCUUUUACUUGAUUGAUGAAUAAAAAAGUAGGAAACUAAAUUUAGAUUGAAAAAUACAAGUUCCUACUAGCUAGGGAUGAUGGAAGCACAACUUCACAAUAUUCAAACGUUGAGGACACGUAUGAACAUAGACAAACUAGACGAUCCAUUUGGGAAGCUGUCAAAUUACAAUUGGUUGAAGUAACGAGCAUGUGCACGAAAGAUGAAAACCAUAUGUACAUGUAUAAAUAGAAGUUUCUAUAACAUAGUUCUGAGUAAACUGUUGAUGAAUUUAAUUGCUACAACAAGUAAUCGUGCGCGCAGGCUGCAAAACCAGUAAAACAAAAUGAGAGACUGGAAGCAGCCAGGGAACUUAACAAACACAACACAUGAUGACAUUGAUUUGCUUCUCUCAAAAUAACAAAAAUAAUAAGAUACAAGUAUUGAGAGCAUAAGACUAGGAAGCACUGGUGUGGAGGGCCACCAAAGAGGAAUAGAAGCCAUCUUUGAUAUUGAUAAGAGUAUCAUGUUUCCCUUUCUCCACAAUUACUCCAUUUUUCACCACAGCAAUUACAUCUGCUCCUUUGAUGGUAGAUAAUCUAUGUGCUACCACCACGGUUGUACGAUUUACCAUCACCCGAUCAAGUGCAUCUUGAACUAUUCUCUCUGAUUCUGCAUCCAAUGCGCUUGUCGCCUCAUCUAAUAGUAGGAUUUUUGGAUUUUUCAAUAUGGCCCUCGCUAUAGCUACUCGUUGCUUCUGCCCACCUGACAGUUGAGUUCCUCGUUCUCCCACUGUCGUAUCAUAACUCUGUAAUGUAAUAUUCAUGUGUAAGCUCACCUAUCAUUUCCAUUGACAGUAUAUCUAUAUAUAUAGAGAGAGUUAUAGUAUUCAAACUAAUUACCUGUUGCAGACCACUGAUGAACUUGUGGGCGUUUGCUAAUUCGGCUGCUGCUAAAACUUCUGCUUCUGUUGCAUUUCCUUCCUUUCCAUAGGCAAUAUUGGCUCGAAUUGUGUCGUUGAACAACACAGGCUCUUGGCUUACAAGCCCCAUUUGCUGCCUUAGCCAUUUUACCUGGAACUUCUGAAUUUCUAUUCCGUCCAACGAAAUCUGGCCUGAAUCAGGAUCAUAAAACCUUUGCAGCAAUGAUAUUACGGUAGACUUUCCACAUCCGCUCUCCCCAACCAAAGCAACCGUCUGAAAUUCAACAACAUAACAAAGUUAAUCAAUGAAUUUUAUUUAACCAGUAAGGUAAACUCCAUAUGCCUUACUUUGUCAUGGAAAAACGAUAUCUAAGAUGGAAUCAAACAUGAGUAAACUCACCUUUCCACUGCGAAUGGUCAAACAAAGGUCUCUUAAAAUUUGAACAUCUGGCCUUGUCGGAUACUUAAAGCUUACGUGCUUCAGCUCAAUAUCUCCCUUCACUGUGUCCAGUGUCAUACCAGAUUCAUCACUUGGAUCUAUUUUUGAUUUCCUGUCUAGAAUAGCAAAUACGGAAGCAGCUGCACUCUUGGCCUUGCUUGAAUCUGGAGCCAAUGAGCUUGACUGGGAAAUUCCUAUAGCUGCCAUCGUCAGAGAAAAGAAAACCUGCCAGGUCGCAAAUACUCCACAUUAUCCUCAAAACAGACAUUUACUAAAAUUCUGAACGAAAAUGUAACAGGGGGAAUUGUGCCACAUACACGGAAGACGUCUGAGAAAGUGAUUUGGCCAGCUUGAACAAGACGAGCUCCCGCAUAAAAACUGGUUGCAUAUACACAAAACAGCAAAGCAAACGAUACACCAAACCCGAUCCCACUAAUCAAACCUUGCUUUAUUCCUGCCUUCAAUGGGCCUUCACACUUUCUUUUGUAUAUUUCCAUCACCUUCUCUUCUGCACAAAAUGACGCAACAGUUCUUAUACCUCCAACAGCAUCAUUUGCAACUUGACUUGCUUCCUCAUACAUCACCUGCGUAAAGUACAAUUAAUCAGAGAAUUAUCAUCCAGAGAAUCUGGCAAUGGUAAAAGAUACUCCCUCCGUACCAAUCUAUGCGGCACCAUUGGACUAGGUGCAAAGUUUAAGAAAGAAACAGAAGUCUUUUGAAAUUUUUGGUCUAAAACAAAACUUCAACCUUUGUGUGCAAUUCAAAGUUAAGAUGUUUCAAAAUAUAGAAACGAGAUAUUCUUUUUGGGACAGACUAAAAAGGGAAGUGUGUCACAGUGAUUGGGACGGAUGGAGUAAUAAAAAAAUAACCAUGUGAAGGUUAAAAUGAUUUAUAGCUUGGGUAAUGUAGUGAUUUUACUGAUGUCUGAGAAAAAAUUUCAAGUUUAAGAUUCAAUUAUCCAUAUUCUUUAAUAUCACCAGCAACAGUAAGCUGUAUAAUAAGGAUUUGGACAAACCUUUGCAUUUGCACUGAACCCUUUCAUGAACUUGAUUUGGAUAUAUCCAUUUAAUCCGAUUAGAGGAAUCAUAACAAGAAUAAUAAGUGCCAACUGCCAACUCGCUUCAAAAGCAAUAGCUAAACCUACAAUUGAUGUUGCAAUAUCUUGGACCAUUUGAGCAAGUGCAUCUCCUACUAAACCACGGACUGCAGCUGCAUCAGCAGAAAGUCUAGCGCCAAUGAUUCCAGUGGAGUGCUCAGAGUCAUCAAACCAUCCUACCUCCAUGCGGACCACCUUCUCAAAGCACAUUGAUCUAAUUCUUCUUAUCAACUUACAACCAGCUAUACUAAAAAGGUAUGUCCUUGCAGGGAAGGCAAUAAAAGUUACACCUCCAAGAAGAACAAACAUAAGAGCCCAAAACUUUGAGUCCUUCCUUAGUUCAUGUGGUGGCUCAUAAAAUGUUUUGAUCACACUAGAGAGUAAUAUCCCGAAAAUUGGAAGUAUAGAACCAUUAAUAAUUGCAGCCACAGUUCCAAUAAUCAUCACAGGUAUUUCAGGCUUGUUGAGAUACGCUAGGCGACGAAUGGGGACCUCUAACCGCUUUUCAGCUACUUCCUGGAUACCCGUUUCUGUGUCUGUGUUAGCUGUUUCAGGUACACUAAGUCCAGUAGCUAAACCAAAUGAUAUGGAGAGUGAACGGCGGCUGCUAUUUCCUACACCAGAUGAACUCCGACUGAUAGAUCGCAUUAGUGAUACUCUUUGACUCGACUGUCUACCAGAUCCCAUAGACUUCUCUAUGCUGUCCCUCUCAUCUAAGCCUGAUUUAUCUGUUUUAUUGUUCACUUCUUGUAAGCGUAUGAGCUGAGAGUAUGCUCCCUCAGGAUCCUUGAGUAGUUCACCAUGUGUACCUGAACAGUCCACAGCAAUGACGUUAAAGUGAAUGUUUGUGUCAUCUUUCUUUUAAGAAAUUCAUUCAGACGGAAAAGAAACUCGCAGUUGAAGUGUCCUUUAAAGCUCUGCUAGGGAAGACUUAAAGAUUCAGAAAACAAGCAUUAGGUUCAUAAUAGUCUAUAGUGAUUGAAACAACACACACAAAUAAUACUAAUGGCCUCUGCUAGGAAAGACUUACAGAUUCAGAAAACAAGCAUUAGGUUCAUAAGAGUCUAUAGUGAUUGGAACAACACAUACAAAUAAUACUAUUGAAGAAGUUAUUGGUUCUUGUUUGGAUGUUUCUGAACUAAGACGAGUUGAAUUUGUCAUUUAAUAUGCUAACCAGACUACUAUAACAUAUUCUUUAUUAGUAUAUGUUGUUGAACAGAAUAAUAGUGAAGUCAAUAUUGAUGAUCAUCCGGAGGAAAGAGAAUAGCAUAUCUAACUAAGUCUAUAUGGUUCAAUACCUUUUUCAACGACUUUUCCCCGAUGUAUGACUGCAAUCAUAUCAGCAUUUCUUACUGUGGUCAAUCGAUGUGCAACUAUGACGGUUGUUCUGUUGAUCAUAAUUCUAUCCAAUGCUUCUUGUACAACUCUCUCAGAUUCUGCAUCUAAUGCACUUGUUGCUUCAUCUAACAGUAAUAUCCUUGGAUCUUUUAAAAUUGCUCUGGCAAUGGCAAUUCUUUGCUUUUGCCCACCAGAAAGUUGAGUUCCAUGUUCUCCAACCAUGGUGUCUAGACCCUGAAUAAAGAAGUUUUAGUGCAAAUGGUAAAUCAGGAGACAACUCAAUUGGUUAAAAAGAAAUCUGAAAGAAGCAGCUAAAAUUUUGAAAGAUGACCAGACUAAGUUGCUAAUAGAACCUGUGGGAGUUUAUCGAUGAACUUUGCGGCAUUUGCUAACUCAGUUGCAACUUUGAUCUCUUCAGCAGUAGCAUCGUACUUGCCAUACAGAAUAUUUUCCUUAAUGCUUGCUGUGAAGAGUACAGGUUCUUGGCUCACAAGACCAAUCUUUCCCCUGAUCCACUUAAGCUGGAAGUCCUUGAGAUUAAUUCCAUCAAUCAGAACUUGACCAGAUUGAGGAUCAUAAAAUCUUUCUAUUAGACUUAUGACUGUUGACUUCCCACUUCCACUUUGCCCAACCAAAGCUGCAGUUGUGCCACUCGAUACAAAUAAUGAAAAUCCACUGAAAAUUUGUUCAUCAGGUCUGGCUGGGUAAGUGAAGCACACAUCAUUCAAUUCAAUAUCACCACGGAUGUCGUCCAAUAUUUUUCCAUUGGUAUCAUAAGCAUCUAUCUCCGGCUUUCUUUUUAUGGUUUCAAACAUUUUGAAAGCUGCCGCUUGACCUGCAGCGAAUGCAGACAUACA